GGGGGAGCGUACCUGGCAGUCCGAGCGAGCGAUGUUAAGGAAGUUUUCGGAUGGAAUUAAGAUUGACUUAGCGGCGCACUGGUGAGUAACGCGUGGGUAACCUGCCUUAUACAGGGGGAUAACAGUUAGAAAUGACUGCUAAUACCGCAUAAGCGCACGGGAACGCAUGUUUCUGUGUGAAAAACUGAGGUAGUAUAAGAUGGACCCGCGUCUGAUUAGCUAGUUGGUGGGGUAACGGCCUACCAAGGCGACGAUCAGUAGCCGGCCUGAGAGGGUGACCGGCCACAUUGGGACUGAGACACGGCCCAAACUCCUACGGGAGGCAGCAGUGGGGAAUAUUGCACAAUGGGGGAAACCCUGAUGCAGCGACGCCGCGUGAGUGAAGAAGUAUUUCGGUAUGUAAAGCUCUAUCAGCAGGGAAGAAAAAAGACGGUACCUGACUAAGAAGCCCCGGCUAACUACGUGCCAGCAGCCGCGGUAAUACGUAGGGGGCAAGCGUUAUCCGGAUUUACUGGGUGUAAAGGGAGCGUAGACGGUUACGCAAGUCUGGAGUGAAAGGCGGGGGCCCAACCCCCGGACUGCUUUGGAAACUGUAUAACUGGAGUGCAGGAGAGGUAAGUGGAAUUCCUAGUGUAGCGGUGAAAUGCGUAGAUAUUAGGAGGAACACCAGUGGCGAAGGCGGCUUACUGGACUGUAACUGACGUUGAGGCUCGAAAGCGUGGGGAGCAAACAGGAUUAGAUACCCUGGUAGUCCACGCCGUAAACGAUGAUCACUANGUGUCGGUGGGUAUGGGCCCACCGGUGCCGCAGCAAACGCAUUAAGUGAUCCACCUGGGGAGUACGUUCGCAA
rnacentral:rRNA from 1 species